CCUCUGGUAGCUCAGUUGGUGGUGGUGGUGGACUGUAGAUCCAUAGGUCGCUGGUUCAAAUCCGGCCCAGAGGA